rnacentral:rRNA from 1 species
GAUGAACGCUGGCGGCGUGCUUAACACAUGCAAGUCGAAUGAUGAAGCCCAGCUUGCUGGGUGGAUUAGUGGCGAACGGGUGAGUAACACGUGAGUAACCUGCCCUUGACUCUGGGAUAAGCCUGGGAAACUGGGUCUAAUACUGGAUAUGACUUCUCAUCGCAUGGUGGGGGGUGGAAAGAUUUAUUGGUCUUGGAUGGACUCGCGGCCUAUCAGCUUGUUGGUGAGGUAAUGGCUCACCAAGGCGACGACGGGUAGCCGGCCUGAGAGGGUGACCGGCCACACUGGGACUGAGACACGGCCCAGACUCCUACGGGAGGCAGCGGGGGGGAAUAUUGCACAAUGGGCGCAAGCCUGAGGAAGCGACGCCGCGGGAGGGAUGACGGCCUUCGGGUUGUAAACCUCUUUCGGUAGGGAAGAAGCGGGAGUGACGGUACCUGCAGAAGAAGCGCCGGCUAACUACGUG